rnacentral:rRNA from 1 species
UACGUAGGGUGCGAGCGUUAAUCGGAAUUACUGGGCGUAAAGCGCUCGCAGGCGGUUUCUUAAGUCUGAUGUGAAAGCCCACGGCUCAACCGUGGAGGGUCAUUGGAAACUGGGAGACUUGAGUGCAGAAGAGGAGAGUGGAAUUCCACGUGUAGCGGUGAAAUGCGUAGAGAUGUGGAGGAACACCAGUGGCGAAGGCGACUCUCUGGUCUGUAACUGACGCUGAGGAGCGAAAGCGUGGGGAGCAAACAGG